CAUAUAAUUUAAUUUAAUAUGUUUUCUUUUAUAUUUUUGUAUUACACAUAUUUGGAAUCUAUUCAAACGUACGUUAGAAAACUUACGGUGUGAAUAAAUGGAGUGGAACUGUGUGAAAGAGAAACGUCUCCUUAUCCCGCAUCCCAAUGGAAUGAAUGGAUUUUUCACCGAUAAAAAACUCGAUAUCCCAAACCAAAAUCAGCUGACGUGUACAGCUGAAUCGCAAAUUUCAUCGAAAAAUCUGCUUAUACAGAGGGCCUUUGCCACUUUCGUGGACAUAAUUUGAGUGGUUGAUAACUUUAUGUAUAUACUAAUCCAACAAAUUGCCCCCGAUGGUAAAUGUUCUCGGUAACAUCAGAAAAGUUGCUUUGAGAAGAGUAAAUGUGCUGAGCAAACUCUAAGGAGGUGUACAUCAACUAUCGCAAUGCGUCAUAUUAAUUGUUCAUUAGGCACUACUUGAUCUAUGCCGAAGUAUUGACGUUCAUACGGACGGACAAAAAGGACAAUCGGGCCUACGGCCGGACAUGACUAGAUUUAUUGUGUUAAUUGUACCACUAGAUACAACCCCUGUUGGUAUGGGGUACACAAAAAACAGAGUACACCAGACCUACUAAAAAGUCUGGUUCAAUUAUCAAUCAUCUAAUUAUCUUAAUAAAUUGUAAUGACGUAAUAAAAAUAUAAUGCGACUCACACCCAACCGGAUAAGCUGGGGAAGGUCUCGUAUUAAUUUGACUGCUUUUAAACGAGCAGAGCAUCGUUUAACUCUUUAAAUCUUAUCGCUUUUAUAUCUUUUAUAUCUACCUAAACGUUCUUCUAUUGUACGCCCCCAAUUUUCCGUAGAAAAUAAAUAAAGACAUUAAAUAUAAAAGUA